GAUGAACGCUGGCGGCGUGCUUAACACAUGCAAGUCGAACGAAGCAUUUGCGACAGAUUUUUUCGGAAUGAAGUUGCUUAUGACUGAGUGGCGGACGGGUGAGUAACGCGUGGGUAACCUGCCUUGUACUGGGGGAUAGCAGCUGGAAACGGCUGGUAAUACCGCAUAAGCGCACAAUGUUGCAUGACAUGGUGUGAAAAACUACGGUGGUAUAAGAUGGACCCGCGUCUGAUUAGCUAGUUGGUGAGAUAACAGCCCACCAAGGCGACGAUCAGUAGCCGACCUGAGAGAGUGACCGGCCACAUUGGCACUGAGACACGGCCCAGACUCCUACGGGAGGCAGCAGUGGGGAAUAUUGCACAAUGGAGGAAACUCUGAUGCAGCGACGCCGCGUGAGUGAAGAAGUAAUUCGUUAUGUAAAGCUCUAUCAGCAGGGAAGAUAGUGACGGUACCUGACUAAGAAGCUCCGGCUAAAUACGUG
rnacentral:rRNA from 1 species